rnacentral:rRNA from 1 species
CUGCUGCCUCCCGUAGGAGUCUGGUCCGUGUCUCAGUACCAGUGUGGGGGACCUUCCUCUCAGAACCCCUAGACAUCGUCGCCUUGGUGGGCCGUUACCCCGCCAACUAGCUAAUGUCACGCAUGCCCAUCCGUCUCCGGAGUCGCCUCCUUUGGCCGAAAGAAGAUGCCUCCCCUCGGCCACAUGCGGUAUUAGGCCGGAUUUCUCCGGGUUAUCCCGCUGAAACGGGCAGGUUGCAUACGCGUUGCUCACCCGUGCGCCGG